CCUGACUCAGCCGCAGACAUUAGUGCUAGGAAGAUGGCGCACCCGGCAAUGUUUCCUAGAAGGGGUAGCAGCAGUAGCAGCGGCAGCAGCUGCGUUACUGCUCCCACUGCACCAGGUACCGGCGUUGGGAGCGCUGCCCUCUCUGCCGAGGAUUAUCAGCCACCUUUGCUGGUCCAGCCGCCGCCUCUGUCUCCUGCAGCAUCUUCAUCAGCGGGUCCACAGCCGACACCCCCUCCUCCACAAAGCCUGAACCUCCUCUCGCAGUCUCAGCUCCAGCCACAGCCUCUUGCACAGACCGGAGCUCAAAUGAAAAAGAAAAGUGGCUUCCAAAUCACCAGUGUGACCCCUGCUCAAAUAUCAGCUAGUAUGAGCUCUAAUAACAGCAUAGCUGAGGAUACAGAGAGCUACGAUGACCUGGAUGAGUCCCACACUGAAGAUCUGUCAUCUUCGGAAAUCUUGGAUGUUUCUUUAUCCAGGGCCACUGACUUGGGAGAACCUGAGAGGAGCUCUUCUGAAGAGACUUUAAAUAACUUCCAAGAGGCAGAGACUCCUGGGGCUGUUUCUCCAAACCAGCCUCAUCUUCCUCAGCAGCAUGCUCCUCUGCCUCAUCACCCACAGCAGAGUGUUGUGAUCAAUGGAAGUGUUCACCCCCAUCAUGUUCAUCAUCACCACCAUCUUCACCACCACCAUCAUGGACACCACCAUCCGUCACAUCCUGGGGUGGGCAGUGCCCCAGUUUCCGGAGGACCACCGCCCAGUCCAUCAUUUAGAAAACUGUCAACAACUGGAAGCUCUGACAAUGUUAUAUCAACUGCACCAGUUUCUGCUGCAUCAUCCACUGGUUCUCCGGCAUCUGUUGUGUCUAAUAUCCGCACUACAAGUACUCCUGGCAAUUUAGGUGUAAGUCCUGCUACUGGAACUAGUACCUUAAAUAAUAUGGGUAGUGGUAGUUCUAGUGUGGCAGGUGGUGUGAUUGGUACUAUAAACUUGAGCAACAUCACGAGUACUGCUAAUGUAAAUGCUUUGUCUGGAACUGGCAGCAAUGUUAAUGUGAAUAUCUUGAGUGGUGUUGGCAAUGGUACGAGUGCUUCCUCUAGUGUCAUUAACAAUGUUACUAAUCCAACUGCAGGAAUGGCAGUUGGAUCAAGCCAGCAGCAGCCUGCAUCUGGCACGUCAAGGUUUAGGGUUGUAAAAUUAGAUUCUAGUUCUGAACCUUUCAAAAAAGGUAGAUGGACAUGCACUGAAUUCUAUGAUAAAGAAAACACCGUUGCAGUUUCCGAAGGAGUAGCAGUAAACAAAGCAGUAGAGACAAUAAAACAAAACCCGCUUGAAGUGACUUCUGAAAGGGAGAGCACCAGUGGGAGUUCUGUUAGCAGCAAUGUAAGCACACUGAGUCACUAUACAGAAAGUGUGGGAAGUGGAGAAAUGGGAGCACCUCCUGUGGUACAGCAGCAAGCAUUUCAAGGUGUGGGUCCACAGCAGAUGGAUUUUAGCAGUGCUGCUCCUCCGGCAAUUCCAGCAUCAAGUAUACCACAGAGUGUUUCUCAAUCACAGCUUGCACAAGUCCAGCUGCAUUCUCAAGAAGUAAACUAUCCACAGCAGAAGCCAGGGGUCCAGCCUCCUGCACAGGCCAGUCUAACCACUGUUACUGGGGUUCAGCCAGCCCCAGUUAAUAUACUAGGUGUAUCCCCAUCUAUGGGCCACCAGCAGCCUGGCAUUCAAAGUAUGGCUCAACAGCAGCUACCAUAUUCUCAGCCAGCGGCGCCUGUGCAGACUUUGCCGGUUGUGCAGCAGCAGCAGUUGCAGUAUGGACAACAGCAGCAGCAGCAGCAGCAACAGACAGUUCCUACACAGAUGGCCACAGGUCAUGUUAAGUCGAUGAACCAAAACUCCGUGACAGGGGCUGUGCCAGACUACAUUCAGCAUCAGCAGAUCCUUCAGACUUCAGCCCCUGCCAUGCAGCCUAGUUCUGCAGGAGUAGGAGCAGGGCAACCGGUUCCUGUUGCCCAGGCACAGGGCAUGCAGCCUUCAGUACAAGCACAUCCAGCCGCUGCCCCAGCUCAGCCUGUUGCACAUGCUCCAGCAGCAAUACCAGGUGUAGGUACCAGUGGUCAAAUGCUGAAUGUUGGGCAGCAAGGGAGUGUAGCUGCUGUGGUGCAACCACCAUCUGCUGCAAACCAAAUUCCACCUCCAGUUAUGCCGUCAACGGCUGCUCCUCCAUCUUCACAAGUAGUGCAGCCUGUGCAGACAGGAAUAAUGCAGCAGGGAUUACAGGCUAGCGCUUCAGGCCUUCCUCAGCAAAUGGUCAUUGCUCAGCAAAGCACUUUGUUACCUGUACAGCCACAGGCACAAGGAGUGGAAUCUGUUGUCCAAGGGAUGACUGGCCAGCAGCUGCCUGCAGUUAGCCCUAUACCUUCUGCUAGUACUGUUCCUGCACCAACUCAAGCUGGUUCAGCUGUGCCUCCUGGCAUACCUUCUGCUUCUAUAGGUUUGGGACAGCCACAGAACAUAACACAAGCUUCGGCUGUGCAGAAUGGGAAUUUGUCUCAAAGUGUUAGUCAGCCUCCCUUGAUAUCAACAAGUAUAGGUAUGCCAGUGGCACAGAGUGUGCCACAGCAGAUGCCGCUAAGCUCUACCCAGUUCCCUGCACAGUCACUAGUUCAGUCCGUUGUAAGCCAAACUGAAGAUGGCAGGCGCCCUACAGAGCCUUCCUUGGUGGGUUUACCUCAAGCUGCCAGUGGUGAGAGUGGUGUUGGAGUGUCGGCCGUUUCGGAUGGCGGUAGCAGCAACGUGCCAUCCUCUGCUUCCCUCUUUCCACUGAAGGUGCUGCCAUUGACGACACCUCUGGUAGAUGGUGAGGAUGAAAGUUCAACUGAAUGCUGGUGCAUAGAUCCUGCAGUGGGUUUGCAGCCUGCACAUGUUUCGAGAGGUGUGUGCUCUAAAGGAGAGGAUGAAGAAACCCCAUCAAAAUUGCCCCUAAAUGAAUUGAGUGAAAUUGCAUAAUGAGGAACAUACCUUUUUGGUUAACUACUGGAUCAUACUCUAACUGGUGUCUUCAGAGCAAUGAAGGCAAAAUGAUAGUGCCUCAUAUGAUGCAUACACCUCAACAGCUACCCUACAUGCAAACACUGGCCACUGCUGCUGUUGUGCAUAAGCUGCCCACAAAAGUAAAGAACCAGUGUGAGAGUUUGAAGAAAGAAUCCACUCAGAGGACUGAGUCUCAAGCAAAAGCUCCAGGUUGCAGACUCAGAAAGAAACUUCCUUUGGGGAAGGAUCUGCUUCCAGGAUUUGCUCGUCUCUUUUUCCUUGGGCAAACAGAGUUCUUGAAGCAAACAACAGGGUUGCAGGACACCUUCUAACCUUUAUACUGCAUCACAAGCCUUCAGCAGAAGAUCUUGAGAGCCAUUUAUGUUGCUGGAAGAUGACUGGGUUUGGAUCUUGGCCUUCCUUAAGCAGGAUCUUCUGACAAAAAUGGGAUUGGGAAAGAAAUGACUCCUUUUUCCAUCACACAGAGCCGCCCUAGAAAUGGAGGCCUAGGCAGAAAAUUACUUCCAAUGCAUCAUUCCUUAAGAGAUUUGUUUGCCCUUCCACGGUCCUUCUGUUACCAUGUCAUAAAGAUGUCUUUUAUAAAACCUAAACCUGGCAUCUUCCUAUCUGAAGAUCCAGUCAAUAAAUCCAAGUUUAAGAGUGUACAGGUCUAAUGCGGUCAGAGCAUGCUGUCUGCUACAUAGGAGAUGCGCUAUGGAUCUGUGAAACAGGGUUCUCCUGUGGUUCAGUGUUGUGUCUGUAAAGCCUUUUCUGCUUAUAGUCCAUUUAAAUUAUUAUAAAAAAUAAAAAGCUUCUUGUGAAAAUGGUAUUUAAUUAGGCCUCAAACUCUCCAAGUUUACUUAAAAACAAGUGAGCCAAAAAUGACAUAAUGGGCAAUAUGGGAAGUACUGCAUCUUCUGAGGUUUCCUGUGGGUUUGUGUCAAGAGAAGGUAUGUUGAAAGUGUUGAGAGCUGUGAAAGAGGGAAAAACUUAGAUUUUGCUUUAAGAGUGAAAAGUUAUUUGUUAGAAAGCAGAAAGCUUUUAAUUUCCCUCCUCUAAGGGAUUCUGUACUCAAACGGUCUUGCAAGAUCUUAAAUAAAAACCUUAUGUUUGGCAGUAGUGAGCAACACACACACACAUGCCUGUGUACUUUUUGCUCUUUUUGCCAUAGGAAAUUAGUUUUGAAGAAUAGGAUUGACUUCUAAUGUUCAGAUUAGGAAAGGGGAAAGCUUUGUUCUGAAGCUGAGUGUGGGAAGACAUGGCAGGAGGUUGACCUGAGCCCACUGGUAGUAGGUAAAGUGCACUUUUGUUUUCGUGUUUUCUGCUUCUGGCAGUUGGAGUAAACUAGUCAGAUGCUUGUGCUUGAAUCCAAUUAAUUUCCUAAAUCAGUUACCACAAAACAUUGUUUUUUAACUAAUGCCUAGAUCUCUCAUUAAAUGCACCAGCCUAUUUAAAUUGUUGAGCAGUCUUAACAUAGCCCUGAGGCUACUGCUUCAUGGCAGUUGUGACUUCUUACUGUGCGGGAAUGCAUUGCAGUCUUAGUACAUUCUAAAAAUAAUUGUUCAGAUGGUGCUGUUUAAGUACAUACUUAUGUAGUGAGCCAUUUUCACUGGACUUUUUAAAAUUUGGGGUCUGUUGGAUGGCUUUUUAAUACCCUAUUUUUAUUCCCUGUGAAUAUCCAACUUCUUUGUCUUGAUGCUUCUGUGGUUAUCGAGUAAAAUGCUAAAUUUAUAACCUGGUAUUUUUAGAAAACUGACGGAUGUAUGUGUUAAACUAUGCAACCACAGUAACACUUGUGAACUUUGAAGUUUAAAGAGAAAUCACUUUAAUGUAUCAAAUUCAAUACUUUUUUUUAGUAUGUAGAAACAUGUUUGUGAUGACCUUAAAACUGAGUAGUUGUUACAGGUAUAGGCAUGGAUUGUGUGCUGAACAUGAGUAACCUAGAAGUUAGAAGCUGGAGAUACGCGAGUCUCGGAAAUAAAUACUGCUGUCUGUGGGAGAGAUCUGUGCCAGCAGUGCUUUUAGUUGAAAAUACCUGUUUUUCUAAUUUCUCCCCUAUUGAAAGUCUGGUAUCUUUUUUUGCCUUCCUUAAAAGGUGUACUUGCCUCAGCCAGAGCUGUUGAUCAUUUUGUGCUGUAGAAUAAGGUAAUUUAAGACCAACAAAUACUUAAUAGGAGCACUGAGAACUGUUUCUAAUGUUAUUGUCUCAGUUGCUAAAAUGACUUUAACCCCCACAUCACAAUAAGGAAAAGAACCCCAAACAAGCCAGAAAGCUUGUUGAUGUUCUACAGUCAGUAUUUUGAUACUUCUUGUCUAUUACCAUUGUGUUAGUGUGUUACUGUCAUGCUCGUAGUUCUGCAGCUGGAAUCCUGGGUUCUUGAUACGUCUUUAGAGCAAUAGCUCCUGCCUUUGUGUUAUUAAAAAAUAAAGAUAUCUGAAACCA